rnacentral:rRNA from 1 species
ACUCAAAGGAAUUGACGGGGGCCCGCACAAGCAGCGGAGCGUGUGGUUUAAUUCGACGCAACACGCAGAACCUUACCUAGGCUUGACAUGUACCUGCAAACUGCGGAAACGUAGCUCCUUCGAGGGUGGUACACCGGUGCUGCAUGGCUGUCGUCAGCUCGUGUCGUGAGAUGUUGGGUUAAGUCCCGCAACGAGCGCAACCCUUGCCCCAUGUUACUUGUGUCAUGGGGGACUGCCGGUGCGUUGCACCGGAGGAAGGCGGGGAUGACGUCAAGUCCGCAUGGCCCCUACGCCUAGGGCGACACACACGCUACAAUGGCCGGCGGAAUGCGCGGCGACCGGGCAACCGGAAGCUAAUCGCGAAGGUCGGUCUCAGUUCAGAUUGAGGGCUGCAACUUGCCCUCAUGAAGGCGGAGUUGCUAGUAACCGCGUGUCAGCAAAGCGCGGUGAAUACGUACCCGGGCCUUGUACACACCGCCCGU